AUGAUGGCGAAGAGGUCACACCCGUUCCCAUGCCGAACACGGAAUUUAAGCCCUUCAGCGCCUAUGGUAGUUGGGGGUUUCCCCCUGUGAGAGUAGGACGUCGCCAAGU
rnacentral:rRNA from 1 species